rfam:Alistipes sp. An66 An66_contig_42, whole genome shotgun sequence.
UUGAUCCGGAGAUUUCUGAAUGGGACAACCCGUCAGGUAGAAGACCUGACAUCCGGCGACGGAGGCCAACCCUCUGAACUGAAACAUCUUAGUAGGAGGAGGAAAAGAAAGAAACAUCGAUUUCCUAAGUAGCGGCGAGCGAACGGGAAAUAGCCCAAACCGGUAUUGUUACGGCAAUGCCGGGGUAGUAGGACUGCGAUAUUCAAGAGACAAUGAACUGGAACGAUCUGGAAAGUUCGUCCAUAGAGGGUGAAAGACCCGUACAGGUAAGUUCGUUUGGCGAUAGCAGUAUCCUGAGUAGGGCGGGACACGAGGAAUCCUGUCUGAAACAGCCGGGACCACCCGGUAAGGCUAAAUACUCCCAAGAGACCGAUAGUGAACCAGUACCGUGAGGGAAAGGUGAAAAGAACCCCGAACAGGGGAGUGAAAUAGAACCUGAAACCAUGCGCUUACAACCUGUCGGAGCGGCUUCGUGCCGUGACGGCGUGCCUAUUGAAUAAUGAGCCUACGAGUUACUAAUCACUGGCGAGGUUAAGUGACAGGAGUCACGGAGCCGAAGCGAAAGCGAGUCUGAACAGGGCGGCCAGUCAGUGGUUGUAGACGCGAAACCUUGCGAUCUACCCUUGAGCAGGAUGAAGGUCGGGUAACACCGACUGGAGGUCCGAACGAAUAAGCGUUGAAAAGCUUCUCGAUGACUUGAGGGUAGGGGUGAAAGGCUAAUCAAGCUGGGAAAUAGCUCGUACUCCCCGAAAUGCCUUUAGGGGCAGCGUUGUAAUAAAGAGUCUACUGGAGGUAGAGCUACUGAUUGGAUGCGGGGGCUUCACCGCCUACCAAAUCCUGACAAACUCCGAAUGCCAGUAGUAUGAUUUACAGCAGUGAGCGACCGGGUGCUAAUGUCCGGUUACGAGAGUGGAACAACACAGACCAGCAAUUAAGGUCCCAAAGCAUAUGCUAAGUUGAACUAACGAUGUUUUGUUGCAGAGACAGCUAGGAUGUUAGCUUGGAAGCAGCUAUUCAUUCAAAGAGUGCGUAACAGCUCACUAGUCGAGCGACAGAGCGUGGAUAAUAAACGGGCAUCAAGCAUAUCACCGAAAUUCUGGACACGAGAGUGUGGUAGGGGAGCAUUCCAUUCGCGCCGAAGCAGAAUCGUGAGAUUUUGUGGAGCGUAUGGAAAAGCAAAUGUAGGCAUAAGUAACGAUAAUGCGGGAGAGUAACCCGCACACCGCAAGACCAAGGUUUCCUGAUCAACGCUAAUCGGAUCAGGGUUAGUCGGGUCCUAAGGGUAAUCCGAACGGAGAUCUCGAUGGAUAAUCGGUUAAUAUUCCGAUACUGACAUGAGCCUCGAUGGAGAGACGAAGGGACGUAAGUGACGCCAUCUGACGGAAUAGGUGGUUAAAGGGCGUAGGUAUAGGGACAGAUUAAGAGUUAGUCCUUGCUGAAACCUGACAGUACAGAGCGGCUACGGCCAAUUUGAUAGUUCACCCAAGUUGACUUCCGAGAAAAUCUUCUAAGUUACAGUUCAUGUCACCCGUACCGUAAACCGACACAGGUGGUCGAGGAGAGUAUCCUAAGGUGCUCGAGUGAAUCACGGUUAAGGAACUAGGCAAAUUAACCCCGUAACUUCGGGAAAAGGGGUCCC